ACUGAUAUUUUAUUCUUAGCUAUAUUGAUAUUUUAUUAUUUAUAAUUUUUUAUUUUAAUAAUAUUUAUUCGUCAUAAUGCGCUGAUGUCUCCACUAGUAUAUAUGUUCACCACUUCACCCAAAAGGCGAGAGGGUCUAGCUCAUUUUUAAACCUGACAAUUUCGACCUCGUAGAUACCCACGGAUUACCCGCAAAUUUACGGGUAUGAGUACUAAUUUUUUCAACCCAAAAAAUUAUGGAUAAAACAGAUGGGUAUCCAUUAACUUGUAGGCAUUUUGGGUAACCU
rnacentral:lncRNA from 1 species